CAUUUAUGCUGCAGCGCCCGGGGAGCAGGGAUUCGGGGUCUUGCUCAAGGGCACAUCAGUCGUGGUAUUAAAGGUGGACGAGAGCGCUCUACAUUCACUCCCCCCACCUACAAUCCCUGCCGG